rnacentral:rRNA from 1 species
AGCAGUCGCCGCGGGAAUACAAAGGGUGCGAGCGUUAAUCGGAUUUACUGGGCGUAAAGCGUGCGUAGGCGGCUUUUUAAGUCGGAUGUGAAAUCCCUGAGCUUAACUUAGGAAUUGCAUUCGAUACUGGGAAGCUAGAGUAUGGGAGAGGAUGGUAGAAUUCCAGGUGUAGCGGUGAAAUGCGUAGAGAUCUGGAGGAAUACCGAUGGCGAAGGCAGCCAUCUGGCCUAAUACUGACGCUGAGGUACGAAAGCAUGGGGAGCAAACAGGAUUAGAUACCCCUGUAGUCCCUGUCUCUUAUAU